UACGAAGGGGGCUAGCGUUGCUCGGAAUCACUGGGCGUAAAGCGCACGUAGGCGGAUCUUUAAGUCAGGGGUGAAAUCCCAAGGCUCAACCUUGGAACUGCCCUUGAUACUGGGGAUCUCGAGUCCGGAAGAGGUUGGUGGAACUCCGAGUGUAGAGGUGAAAUUCGUAGAUAUCAGGAGGAACACCGGUGGCGAAGGCGCACAUCUGGCCCGAUACUGACGCUGAGGCGCGAAAGCUAGGGGAGCAAACGGG
rnacentral:rRNA from 1 species